GAUGAACGCUAGCGGCAGGCCUAACACAUGCAAGUCGAGGGAGAAGCCCUUUCGGGGGCAGAAACCGGCGCACGGGUGCGUAACGCGUAUGCAACCUACCUUUCACAGGGGGAUAGCCCGAAGAAAUUUGGAUUAAUACCCCAUAAUAUUAUUGGAUGGCAUCAUUUGAUAAUUAAAACUGCGGUGGUGAAAGAUGGGCAUGCGUCCUAUUAGCUAGUUGGAGUGGUAACGGCACCCCAAGGCUACGAUAGGUAGGGGUCCUGAGAGGGAGAUCCCCCACACUGGUACUGAGACAGGGACCAGACUCCUACGGGAGGCAGCAGUGAGGAAUAUUGGUGAAUGGUCGGAAGACUGAACCAGCCAUGCCGCGUGCAGGAAGAAUGCCUUAUGGGUUGUAAACUGCUUUUAUAUGGGAAGAAUAAGGCGUACGUGUACGUUGAUGACGGUACCAUAUGAAUAAGCAUCGGCUAACUCCGUG
rnacentral:rRNA from 1 species